AAUCAUAUACCUAUUCUGUAAAAAGAGAGUUUUCAGUUAGUGAAAUUUCUACGUGUCUUGAAAGGGCAUGUUUCACUGUAAGUUUUUAUUUGGUGUUCCCUGUUGUUCAAGAGCACAUAUGCUCCAUCUUCAUCUUCCACAAAUUCAUUAAUUCAAUUUAUUUUAGUCUCUCUUCCCAUCCUAUCUGAUUUGGUCCCCUUUCCUAUGGGUUUCUAAAUUUUCUCUUCUCUUUUCUAACAUCUUUCUUCCCCAAUCACUCUCUUCAUUCAUCAUCACUUACGGUUUGUAAAUAUAUAUUUUUUAAUUUCAACUCUCUAUUCCCUCACCACGACACUGCCCAAUCCUGUGCUCUUUCUUUCCUCAUUACAAUCAAUGAUAUCUUCUUUUUCUUUGCUGAAAAAGCAUGCCAAGCUGUAUUUGAUGUCCCCCAUUUCAAAAUUCAAAUUUAAAUUCAUUUUUAUAUAUUCAUUUCAAGGUAAAUCAUAACCUCAAACUAAUUCAUUCGUUCAAAACUCUAAUCCUAAUCAAAUCAAUGGAAUUUUCGGUGAGCAUCGGAUUGUUCAAGGUGCAUCCCUUGGUGAUGGUGAACAUCUCCGACCACUACACUCGCAAAAGUCUAAGCUCAACCUUUCCAAUCCAAAUUCGAGCGCUUCUUCCAAUUCCCCUGCUUCACGUAUAGUGGCGUCAUAGUUUGUCCAGAAGGGUUACAUCGUCGUUUUCUUCAACUUCCGUAAUCUUCAUCAAUCCUCAUGGUUCUAAGAUCUUUAAAAAAGAAUGCACAUAAUUAAGGAAAGAGAAUGCAUGAAAAGAUUUGGAAGGAAGCUCAUGAGAAGUUGAAGGUGGAAAAGGGUGAUGUCGUGCGCUACAAUUAUCAUGAUGAAAGAAGCAAAUGAAGAUUCUCAUGGACAAGGUUGCACUUGGUGAUAUGGCUGAGCUUGCUACAACAAAGUAUGAUGUUGACAAGUUACAUGAAGGAUAGCUUAGCACAAAAGGAUUAGGAGGAACCUCACCAAUUUUUUCAGAAGCUCAGGCACUUGAGGACAAGUCGUCAUUUCCCUUAGGAAGCCCAAGUACAAUUUAGGCUUUAAGCAAAGAAGAGUUUUGUAGCUGGUUGGAGGCUCAGUAUAUCCUUCUUUGACCUUGCUUAUAAUGCUCUCAAUGCAACUCACUUGGCUUCCUCAAAGAGAAUCUCUAGCCGAGUUUGAGGAAAAAUUAUUUUUAGCAAGUGAUGCUAAGGUAUGAUGAUUGAAAAUAUCUUCAAUGGUUGAGUGGUAUAUGCAUUGACUAUAUGGUAAGUUCUCAAAUAUUCAUUGCAUAAAUUGAUUUCAACGGUCUCCAUAUCUAUUUUUUUUCCAUCUCCGUAGUCCCUGGAAUAUGAUAUAAUAAAAUUGAAUAUUGUGAUUGUUUUAACUCAAUAUUGUUAUUUUCUCUUGUAUUGUGAUUCAUAAUAAUUCAAUGAUUGAACUCUUUUGAUGUAUUAAAAUGAGGGUAGAGGUGAUAGAGUUUUGUAAUUUAUUUUCAAUUGUGAAAUAGAUUCUGACAUUAGUUGUUAUUAUUUGUUAAUGAGUUUGAUUUGUUGUUACUCUGAAGAAGGAUGAGUGAAGUAGCUGGUGUGGGGAAGAAGCCUUGGAGAGUUUAGAUGGAAAUAAUUUCAUUAAUACUGGCAAUCGGAACUUGAAAAUUAAUGCAUAAAUUUUGUAACAAUAUCUAAUUGUGAUAAGGUUUAUGAUUAAAUAAUUCAUAAGAUUUUGCACCAAGUGCUCUAAUAUUCUUAUUAUUUGACUCUCUUCUCGAUUGAGCACACGAAUAUUUAAAAAUCAAUGGGUUAAGUACUUUUUUCGUUUUUAAGGUCUGAGGCCAAAAUCAAAAUCAUCACUGAUCUUUUUUCGUUAUUAAAAUCAUCUUCAACUUUACAAAAUGUUAUAAAAUUGUUCUUUUGUUCAAAAAUAAUAUUUUUUAGACAAUUUCACCCUUAAAUAAAAAUAAUAAAAGAAUCUCCACAGCCUCACCAUUAACUUUACAUCAUCAUCGCUUCGCACCUCCUCCCUCUUCCUUUCCUCACCACCAUCACCACUGCCACCAUAGCCAUUCAUUAUUUACGACACUUUUUUUUCCAGCAACAACAACCCCAAAAUAAAUUAACAGCAACAUUUACAAAAUAAAUCAACAAAAAAUUUAGAUUAAACGAUAAUUCAAUAAUCAUCAACCACAAUUUCAGUUUUCAGAUCCAAAAAUAGCUAAACAGCAGAAAUUAAAAAAAUAAAAAAAAUAAAUGAUGUUUAUUGAUGAGCGGAUAAUUUAUACGCUUUUUGGCAUUGUUUUUAUAUAGUUUUUAGUAAGUUUGAGCUACUUUUAGGGAUGUUUUCAUUAG